rnacentral:lncRNA from 1 species
UUGAAUUCAGGUCUAUUCUUUUUCCCAGGAACAGGGUUGGAGUUGGCUGGCUGGUAACUCCCCCAUAAAGAGGCAGUGUUCCAGAGAAAUGGCUGGUCUGGAUGUCCCACAGAUGGGGAGGUCAGGAUCUGUGUCCAGUUCACCUCUGAAGCCCCUCAGGAUUUAGUUCCUAAGUUGAACAAAGUGUCCACCAACAGGCCCUUCUUGUCCUUUCUUCCUUCCCUGUUUAUGGAGGGAAGAUAAAAAGUCCAAGUUUUUUGGUGAAACUCUAGUGGGAUAGCUCUCUUUCUAGCUCGCCAAGGCCUCGCUGUUUCGAGUAUCAUGCUGCAUUUCUUGCAUGCUGCUUUGGAAUAUAUUUCAUUCAUUACAAUAAAACAAUUACAAUAAACCAGGAGAAACAUUCUGUAAUCACCUACCAUAUGCAGAGCAUGGAGAUGGAGC